AACAGAGCUGACGACUGACGGAUUUAAUGUGGAGAACCACGUGGGAGUCUGUCUCUGUGGCAUGCCGACCGUCUGGGCAACAUUU
rnacentral:ncRNA from 2 species